UGUUGUGCUAGACCGGGGCGUUAGCCCUUCCCUGUUACCGUCAACGGGCUUUAUGGCGGGGUCGAAGCCAAGAGGGCGGUCUUACACGGUGAAACGCAGCCUAAGCGUUGCCGUCGAUCCUCUGUCCUUCUUGGUCUGUCUUUUCACGAACCUGGUCAGGCGGGGAACCGAGCAGCCAUAAGUGAUAAGGUGGGCGUUUGAAGGGUUGCAGAGAGGAGGCGCGUUUGGGGCUCCUGCGGAGCGCUAUGUUUGAUCCACCUCUUGGCGUGCACGCUU
rnacentral:SRP_RNA from 1 species